CGUGGUAGGGGAGCGUUCUGUAGGUCUGUGAAGGUGUCCUGAAAGGGAUGCUGGAGAUAUCAGAAGUGCGAAUGCUGACAUGAGUAGCGAUAAAGCGGGUGAAAAGCCCGCUCACCGAAAGCCCAAGGAUUCCUACGCAACGUUCAUCGGCGUAGGGUGAGUCGGCCCCUAAGGCGAGGCAGAAAUGCGUAGUCGAUGGGAAACUGGUUAACAUUCCAGUACUUUCAUACAGUGCGAUGAGGGGACGGAGAAGGUUAGGUCAGCCAACUGUUGGAAUAGUUGGUUUAAGCUGGUAGGCGGAGCGCGCAGGCAAAUCCACGCGCUCGUUAACGCUGAGAAGUGAUGACGAGGGUCUACGGACCUGAAGUGACUGAUACCCUGCUUCCAGGAAAAGCCUCUAAGCUUCAGCUGUAUGAGAACCGUACCGCAAACCGACACAGGUGGGCAGGAAGAAAAUUCCAAGGUGCUUGAGAGAACUCAGGAGAAGGAACUCGGCAAAUUGAUACCGUAACUUCGGGAGAAGGUAUGCCUCCCCCGGUGUAGGACUUCGCGUCCGAAGCUAGGAGAGGCCGCAGAGAAUCGGUGGCUGCGACUGUUUAUCAAAAACACAGCACUGUGCCAACACGAAAGUGGACGUAUACGGUGUGACGCCUGCCCGGUGCCGGAAGGUUAAGUGAUGGGGUGCAAGCUCUUGAUCGAAGCCCCGGUAAACGGCGGCCGUAACUAUAACGGUCCUAAGGUAGCGAAAUUCCUUGUCGGGUAAGUUCCGACCCGCACGAAUGGCGUAACGAUGGCCACACUGUCUCCUCCUGAGACUCAGCGAAGUUGAAAUGUUUGUGAAGAUGCAAUCUACCCGCUGCUAGACGGAAAGACCCCGUGAACCUUUACUGUAGCUUUGCAUGGGACUUUGAACAGACUUGUGUAGGAUAGGUGGGAGGCUAAGAAGCGUGGACGCUAGUUCAUGUGGAGCCGCCCUUGAAAUACCACCCUGGUGUGUUUGAGGUUCUAACCUAGGUCCGUGAUCCGGAUCGGGGACAGUGCAUGGUAGGCAGUUUGACUGGGGCGGUCUCCUCCCAAAGUGUAACGGAGGAGUUCGAAGGUCACCUAGGUACGGUCGGAAAUCGUGCUGAUAGUGCAAUGGCAAAAGGUGGCUUAACUGCGAGACCGACAAGUCGAGCAGGUGCGAAAGCAGGACAUAGUGAUCCGGUGGUUCUGAAUGGAAGGGCCAUCGCUCAACGGAUAAAAGGUACUCCGGGGAUAACAGGCUGAUUCCGCCCAAGAGUUCACAUCGACGGCGGAGUUUGGCACCUCGAUGUCGGCUCAUCACAUCCUGGGGCUGUAGCCGGUCCCAAGGGUAUGGCUGUUCGCCAUUUAAAGUGGUACGCGAGCUGGGUUCAAAACGUCGUGAGACAGUUUGGUCCCUAUCUGCAGUGGGCGUUGGAAGUUUGACGGGGGCUGCUCCUAGUACGAGAGGACCGGAGUGGACGAACCUCUGGUGUACCGGUUGUCACGCCAGUGGCAUCGCCGGGUAGCUAAGUUCGGAAGAGAUAACCGCUGAAAGCAUCUAAGCGGGAAACUCGCCUGAAGAUGAGACUUCCCUGAGGGUAUAACCCUCCUAAAGAGUCGUUCGAGACCAGGACGUUGAUAGGUCGGGUGUGGAAGCGCUGUGAGGCGUGAAGCUAACCGAUACUAAUGGCUCGUGAGGCUUGAUCCUAUCAUUUGA
rnacentral:rRNA from 1 species